rnacentral:misc_RNA from 1 species
UAACAUUAAGUUGAUAUUCCUCCG